rfam:Tepidiphilus thermophilus strain JCM 19170 genome assembly, contig: Ga0061068_106
GGCGGGUCGCCCCGCAUUGCGGCGCGGGAACCGGGUCAGGGCCGGAAGGCAGCAGCCCUAACCGCUCCCCGCAAGUGCCGGGGGUCCGGCUCGCCACC